AAAUUGAAGAGUUUGAUCAUGGCUCAGAUUGAACGCUGGCGGCAGGCCUAACACAUGCAAGUCGAACGGUAACAGGAAGCGCUUGCUGCUUCG
rnacentral:rRNA from 1 species